rnacentral:rRNA from 1 species
UACGGAGGAUCCAAGCGUUAUCCGGAUUUAUUGGGUUUAAAGGGUCCGUAGGCGGGACAUUAAGUCAGUGGUGAAAGCCUUCAGCUUAACUGGAGAAUUGCCAUUGAUACUGAUGUUCUUGAGUACACCUGAAGUGGGCGGAAUGUGUCAUGUAGCGGUGAAAUGCAUAGAUAUGACACAGAACACCGAUUGCGAAGGCAGCUCACUAAAGUGUAACUGACGCUGAGGGACGAAAGCGUGGGGAGCGAACAGG